rnacentral:tRNA from 1 species
UUGUCUAUAUCUCCAGUUGGUAGAGCAUGAGACUCUUAAUCUCAAGGUUGUGGAUUCAAGCCCCACGUUGGGCAAA